GACGAACGCUGGCGGCGUGCUUAACACAUGCAAGUCGAACGGAAAGGCCCUGCUUGCAGGGUGCUCGAGUGGCGAACGGGUGAGUAACACGUGGGUGAUCUGCCCCUUACUUUGGGAUAAGCCUGGGAAACUGGGUCUAGUACUGGAUAGGACCAUGCUGUAGGUGGUGUGGUGGAAAGAUUAGUUUCGGUAAGGGAUGAGCUCGCGGCCUAUCAGCUUGUUGGUGGGGUAAUGGCCUACCAAGGCGUCGACGGGUAGCCGGCCUGAGAGGGUGGACGGCCACAUUGGGACUGAGAUACGGACCAGACUCCUACGGGAGGCAGCAGUGGGGAAUAUUGCACAAUGGGCGCAAGCCUGAUGCAGCGACGCCGCGUGGGGGAUGACGGCCUUCGGGUUGUAAACUCCUUUCAGCCAUGACGAAGCCCUUGUGGUGACGGUAGUGGUAGAAGAAGCACCGGCUAACUACGUG
rnacentral:rRNA from 1 species